AUAGACGGCGUGAAAACGGACAAGAGUAUGCUGGCUCACUGUGCUGCAUACAGUUACACACUACGUCGUACGAUUGAGACAAGGAAACUUGGAAUGACUUUUCAUAGGUUUCCCAGAGACUAUGGGUUGAGGAGGAAUUGGAAGUUUGUCGGCUUAGACCUGGUGUCAUUCCAUCAGUGUUAAACUUCCCGGCUCAUCUUGGAAGAGUACGUGCCAGAAAGACCACGACCAAGCAGCCUUGAGAUCUUAGGCAGCGUCUCCCUCAGACCAAAGAACUACAGACUCUUCACAACCUGCUCAAACUCUUGGUACAGGACCUCACCACACGGGCCAAGAAGGUUUCCGUCUCAUUUCUACUCUGAAGCUCACCUUCUCCUGCU